rnacentral:lncRNA from 10 species
GUAAAAAGUGAUACUGUGAUAUAUGUAUACAAUGUAGCAUGAUUGAAUCAAGCUAAUUAACAUAUCCAUUAUUUCAAAUACUUAGCAUUUCCACUGUGCCUACACUGCAGAUUGGUUGAAUGUACACGUACCACCCAUUUUUAUUCUUUUUUGUUCAACAUUUACAGGCCUGCUUCCACCGAGGGACUGAAGGCUCCUUGAGCAAAAUUAUCUACCUGUUCACCUUUGAAUCUUUCACAGUUCCCAGUCUGAAAUCCUAGAAAUGCUAAGAUCUCAGGACAUCUAUGCUAAGCCCAGAAAACACUGACGAGCUUUUACGUUCCUGGAUAAGGGUAUGUACCAGAAGUAAGAGUAAUU